rnacentral:lncRNA from 1 species
UAGAGACUUUAAGCAUGCUUCAAGAGGCAGUUGCCCCACUGGAAUUUCUAUAAGGCUGGUACCCUUCCCAGAGUUACAGAAUCUUGGGUGCUAUCUCUAGUCUGUGAUGGAGGAACUCCCAGCAUCCCCAUUUUCCACAAAUGGAAUCCUCACUGUAUCCACUAGGAGAUUAGAGAUUAAGGUUUCUUUACUACUUCUAUGGUAGGGUUGUCUGAAAUUCCCUUUCAGGCUGUGGGUACUGGUCUUGGGUUCUAGUCAUAAGGGGUUCCUUAUAAGGAGCAGGUGGAGGGGA